UUAUUUAUUUUCAAUUAAAUCUGAAAUCCUAAUAAUAUUAUUGUAAAUUGCAGGGAAAAGUGGGGGGAAGAAACAAAUGUCUUCCCACUGGCAUUGCGAACAAAAAGAAAAAAUCGAGUGUGAGAGAGCGCGAGAAAAAGAGCAACGGAGCAGCGGUAUAAUGGGAAACCAGAAGCAAAAAUGGACGGUGGAGGAGGAGGCGCUGCUAAAUGGAGUAGCUAAGCACGGUCCUGGCAAGUGGAAGAACAUUCUCAAAGAUCCCGAUUUUGCUCCUUUCCUCACUCAACGCUCCAACAUCGACCUCAAGCUCUAAAUCCUUUGGCUGGAGAAAUAGUUCACUGUUGCUCAAUUGAGCAGGUAGUCUGCAUAAUAACUCUAUAAAUUUUGUAGCAUAACUACUUGAAAUUUUAUUUAAUUUUAUGAUUCUCGAUGAUCUAGGUGUGCGUAGGUGUGAGAUGUGAAACAAAAAUCUGGCAGACUAUAUGAGAUUUUAAUUGUGUGGUUGGAAGAAAUUGCAUAUCAUUAGUGUUUGGCCUGGAUCCAAUACUUGGGUUUUUAUUACUGGUGCAAGGACCCAGAUUUGCAAAGUCCAUACCAGUAGCUUUGUUGUUCUUGGUUUGAAUCAUGGCAACUUUAUCGCAUUCUGAAUCCAGGCGAUUGUAUUCUUGGUGGUGGGAUAGCCACAAUUGUCCAAAGAAUUCAAAAUGGCUUCAGGAAAAUCUUACAGGUCUUAUUAUCUUCUUAGAUCUCGUUCAAUUUUCUUGACAUAUAUCUGUUGUCUAAGUCGCUGGUCUUUGAGGCAUUGUAUUGUAUAGAAUGUAAGAUUACAUGUGAUACUAAGAUAUGGUAAAAAGAACUGGUCUUAUAAAGACUUUACUGCUGAAAUUAGUUAAUAGCUUUGUAUUAUGCCUCAACUUUACUGGCUUGUAUAUAAAAUUGAUUGAUGAACACUUCUUAAAAAAUGAAGAAUGCUUCAAAAUCAAAAGGGGAAUGCAUAAAUGAAAUUUUGUUUUAAUCUACAGUUCUGACUUGACCUUUAGUAGAUUUGAUAGUAACUGUUAAAUAUGGAAUCAUAGUUCAUAGAAACUUAGAUUGCUUAUGGUUGAAGAAGGGCUCAAACAUUUAAUGGAUGAUGGUUAGUAAACAUUUGUUCAGGAAAAAAAAGAGUAUACACCUUGGUUCAGAAUAACUCCCAUGUAUGUUUUUUAGAAAAUAAUUGAUUUUUUUUUUUUUUUUUAGAUUUUCUAACCUGAUCAUUUCAAAUAUUGAGUUUUCUUUGCAUUGUAGUUAUAAGAUACUCUAAUCCAUGUCCAGCUUCCAGCUGGUCAAAACCGGAUUGACCAAAACCAGCUUUGGACUAGACUGGAACAAGUUGGUUCAGUUCUGGGCCAAAACUGGACUUUUUCCUUUUAAAAAAGUUGAAAAAAAAUUUCAACCUUGGAUUUGAUUCAUGGCAGAACUGAAACAGGAACCAGAACCAAGGGGACCUUGUGGUCUAGUUCAAGUCCCCUCUAACCUUGAAUCGGAACCAUCCUGGAGGUCAGGUAUAUAUAUAUACAUUACAAUUUAUUAUCAACUUAACGACCUGAUUAACUCAGUAAUUUCCUGAACUUAACAUUUCACACCUAUAAAAUAGAAAAUCAUGUUAAAAAAAUACCUCUUAUCAUUCUUCUUAUAAAAAUAUUUUCUGGUAUGUUAAUGGAAAAAGAUUAUCUUGUAGCAUUUAAACAUUGUCCUCAUAAUAGUGGUGGCUGACAGCCAUCAAGGGGUCCUAAAGUUAAAACCAUGGCUGUAACUCCACCCUCCAGUGCACAAAACUCUGCUCCUACUGAUGGAUCUGCGGAUGCUCUUAUGGAUGACCUUUCAAACAAUGCAGUGGAUGGAAAAAGUGCUCCAAGGUUGUCAAAUUUGUUCUUUUUGGUGUCGCUCAUUUCUAGUAAUCUAUAUGGUACAUAAAUUUCUGUCCAUGUUUAAUUUUUUUAUAGAUAUCGAAGCAUUAAGUUAUAUCUUUGUUAUGUUCUCAACAUCUAGUGCUUGCUUUAAAAGUUAUAUUACUGUCUAUUCUGUUGUUUACUUUUUGGAAUUUAUUUUCUAGAAAAUAAACACUGAUGGAAGUUUGUAAUCAAAUUUCAAUAAUUGACGAUAUUGUUGGUUGUAUGUUUGUGCCUAUUUUGUAAAAACCUCUUUUAUGCCCUUCUUUAAUGUAAUUUUUUCCACGCAGCGGAUUGUGAAGAGAAUUAUUUCAGAUUCUAGAUAUGACAGAAUUCUGUUUGCAUUUUAUUUCACAAGCCGGUCGGAGAUUGAAACUGUGGCAUUCUAUGUUGGACUAGCUGAUAUUCUUUAUUUGUACUGAACUGAUACUUUAUUAUUGUUAAUAUAUCUUAUGUUUUAUUAAUUUCAAGUUAAAA